GAUGAAGAACGUAGCGAAAUGCGAUACGUAAUGUGAAUUGCAGAAUUCAGUGAAUCAUCGAAUCUUUGAACGCAUAUUGCGCUCUUUGGUAUUCCGAAGAGCAUGCUUGUUUGAGUAUUAGUAAACACCUCAACCUCUUCUUGAUUUUUCAAAAGGAGGGUGGACUUGAGCUAUCCCAACAACCUUUACCGGUCGGCGGGCGGCUUGAAAUGCAGGUGCAGCUGGACUUUUAUCUGAGCUAAAAGCAUAUCUAUUUAGUCCUCGUCAAACAGGAUUAUUACUUUUGCUGCAGCUAACAUAAAGGAUAAUUGUCCUCUUUGCUGACUGAUGCAGGAUUUUACGACACUUUAUGUGUUGUUCAACUCGAUCUCAAAUCAAGUAAGACUACCCGCUGAACUUAAGCAUAUCAAUAAGCGGAGGA
rnacentral:misc_RNA from 1 species